rnacentral:lncRNA from 1 species
UCUCCCACUCCUCACAGGGAAAGCCCAGCAGGUCGGAACCGGAGCAGGAGCGGCGCCGGCAGCUGGCCCAGGGCGUGGCCCGCCUGCGUGGGGAGCUGCAGCAGUUGGACCUGCAGAUGGAGACGGCCCAGCGCGAGGUCAUGCCUGACGAGGUCUCCCUGGAGGCGGCCCAGGAGCGGAUCCGCGACGCCCAGCGCCGCUCCCUGCUGCUCAAGGCCUAUGCGGCCCGCACGGCCAAGGAGCACCAGCAGCUGCAGGCCAGCGUAACACAGCUGGAGGGGCGGCUGGAGCAGCUGCAGGACAUCAGCAGAAAGGCCAAGGUGGAGCUGACGGUGGGAGGGAAGGUGCCUGACCUCGGGUUUGCUGGCGUGGAGCCUGAAGUACUGCGGGACGUGCGGACGGCCUGCCAGCUGCGCUUCCACUUCCUGAAGUGGCUCUUCGAGCACAGCACGUCUGGGGCCCUCCCGUAAGAGCCUGCGAGCUCCCCUACCCUCCCCUUCCCCUCCGCCGCUCUGUUUCUGACCCGCCCCAUGUGUGUGUCUCUCAGCAGCGGGACAAGCGAGGAGCUGCUGGAGGCAUCCUACCAGCACUGGUUGAGCACGGUGGAGGUAACAGGGGAGGGAGGCGCAAUAGGGUAGGGACCCUGGGGACGUCUCGCAUGGUGCAGAGAUGCAGCCACCUCUGAGCUGGGAACAGCUGCACAUAACACUGCACUGGGUCAGCUCAC